AUUGAACGCUGGCGGCAUGCCUUACACAUGCAAGUCGAACGGCAGCACGGGAGCAAUCCUGGUGGCGAGUGGCGAACGGGUGAGUAAAGUAUCGGAACGUGCCCAGUCGUGGGGGAUAACGUAGCGAAAGUUACGCUAAUACCGCAUACGAUCUACGGAUGAGAGCGGGGGAUCGCAAGACCUCGCGCGAUUGGAGCGGCUGAUAUCAGAUUAGGUAGUUGGGGGGGGAAAGGCGCACCAAGCCGACGAUCUGUAGCUGGUCUGAGAGGACGACCAGCCACACUGGGACUGAGACACGGCCCAGACUCCUACGGGAGGCAGCAGUGGGGAAUUUUGGACAAUGGGCGCAAGCCUGAUCCAGCCAUGCCGCGUGCAGGAUGAAGGCCUUCGGGUUGUAAACUGCUUUUGUACGGAACGAAAAGGUUUGGCCUAAUAAGCUGGACCCAUGACGGUACCGUAAGAAUAAGCACCGGCUAACUACGUGCCAGCCGCCGCCGUAACAC
rnacentral:rRNA from 1 species